GACGAGCGCUGGCGGCGUGCUUAACACAUGCAAGUCGAACGGAAAGGCCCUGCUUUUGUGGGGUGCUCGAGUGGCGAACGGGUGAGUAACACGUGAGUAACCUGCCCUUGACUUUGGGAUAACUUCAGGAAACUGGGGCUAAUACCGGAUAGGAGCUCCUGCUGCAUGGUGGGGGUUGGAAAGUUUCGGCGGUUGGGGAUGGACUCGCGGCUUAUCAGCUUGUUGGUGGGGUAGUGGCUUACCAAGGCUUUGACGGGUAGCCGGCCUGGGAGGGUGACCGGCCACAUUGGGACUGAGAGACGGCCCAGACGCGUACGGGAGGCAGCAGUGGGGAAUAUUGCACAAUGGGCGGAAGCCUGAUGCAGCAGCGCCGCGUGCGGGAUGACGGCCUUCGGGUUGUAAACCGCUUUCGCCUGUGACGAAGCGUGAGUGACGGUAAUGGGUAAAGAAGCACCGGCUAACUACGUG
rnacentral:rRNA from 1 species